GAGUUUGAUCCUGGCUCAGGACGAACGCUGGCGGCGUGCCUAACUCAUGCAAGUCGAACGGAGAUACGCGCUGAAUGGAUGGAGCUUGCUUUUGAAAUUCUUGUGUAUCUUAGUGGCGGACGGGUGAGUAACGCGUGAGCAACCUGCCUUUCAGAGGGGGAUAACGUUUGGAAACGAACGCUAAUACCGCAUGAGACCACGGUACUGCAUAGUACAGUGGCCAAAGGAGCAAUCCGCUGAAAGAUGGGCUCGCGUCCGAUUAGAUAGUUGGCGGGGUAACGGCCCACCAAGUCGACGAUCGGUAGCCGGACUGAGAGGUUGAACGGCCACAUUGGGACUGAGACACGGCCCAGACUCCUACGGGAGGCAGCAGUGAGGGAUAUUGGUCAAUGGGGGCAACCCUGAACCAGCAACGCCGCGUGAGGGAAGACGGUUUUCGGAUUGUAAACCUCUGUCCUCUGUGAAGAUAAUGACGGUAGCAGAGGAGGAAGCUCCGGCUAACUACGUGCCAGCA
rnacentral:rRNA from 1 species